rnacentral:lncRNA from 1 species
CCUCUAACCACCAGGCUACCCGCCUCCUCUAACCACCAGGCUACCCGCCUCCUCUAACCACCAGGCUACCCGCCUCCUCUAACCACCAGGCUACCCGCCCCCUCUAACCACCAGGCUACCCGCCCCCUCUAACCACCAGGCUACCCGCCUCCUCUAACCACCAGGCUACCCGCCUCCUCUAACCACCAGGCUACCCGCCUCCUCUAACCACCAGGCUACCCGCCCCCUCUAACCACUUGCUGAUGAGAGUUGUUGGAUGUUGUUAGUUUACACAUAGCGUCAUACCGCCAACUUUUAUUCUGAAGGCAAAAUGCCAGGCGUCUAUGUGUAACAGUACUCUUCUUGCGUUGUCUACAAUCAAUCAUAGACACGAACUCCAACUUGUACCACCAGUCAUGGAGCUUUAUUCUGACAGGAACAGCACGGCUCACCAUCCAACUCUGCACUCAGGCACUGUACAAAAUAUACAACCCCCCCCCCACCAGACACAGGUCAAGUCUUCAGGAGAGUCAGCAGACCCUGCUGAAGGAGAACGUAGACCCAGGCUCCAUCAGGACCAGGGGAGGCAGGCAGAAUGUCCUGCCCCCAGACCCUGCUGAAGGAGAACGUAGACCCAGGCUCCAUCAGGACCAGGGGAGGCAGGCAGAAUGUCCUGCCCUCAGACCCUGCUGGAGGAGAACGUAGACCCAGGCUCCAUCAGGACCAGGGGAGGCAGGCAGAAUGUCCUGCCCUCAGACCCUGCUGGAGGAGAACGUAGACCCAGGCUCCAUCAGGACCAGGGGAGGCAGGCAGAAUGUCCUGCCCUCAGGCCCUGCUGGAGGAGAACGUAGACCCAGGCUCCAUCAGGACCAGGGGAGGCAGGCAGAAUGUCCUGCCCCCAGACCCUGCUGGAGGAGAACGUAGACCCAGGCUCCAUCAGGACCAGGGGAGGCAGGCAGAAUGUCCUGCCCUCAGACCCUGCUGGAGGAGAACUCAGACCCAGACUCCAUCAGGACCAGGGGAGGCAGGCAGAAUACCCUGCCGCGACACUGUCUGAGCAACUCUUCGUCCUGGAGAUUCCCCCCCUCCCCGACUAGCAGCCUUCACACUGGAGACAGAUCACAUCUCUGGUGAAUGAGAUCUAUGACAGCAAGUCUUUUACAUAAACCUCUCUCUGUAGUCAACACAUACAGUCAAAGUACAAGUUAACAUUGUACAUAGACAGGUUCUGUUGAGUGAGUUGCGUAGGUACUCACAGGUGAACACAGUACUCACAGGUGAACUUAGUACUCACAGAUUAACUCAUGGGUGAACACAGUACUUGUAGAUUAACUCAGAUUAAAUGGGUUAACACAGUACUCGCGGGUUAACACAGUACUCGCGGGUUAACACAGUACUCGCGGGUUAACACAGUACUCGCGGGUUAACACAGUACUCGCGGGUUAACACAGUACUCGCGGGUUAACACAGUACUCGCGGGUUAACUGAUGACUGUAAGGUGAUGACUGUGUGUGUUUGCACGUGCAUAGAAUCAACCCUGUAGACAGAAGUCACCUCAGCAGCAGUAGCCUCCAGUUUGGUCUAGCGGGCUAAAAGGACAUUUAUUUGUCAAGUCCUGUUCCAUGUUUUCUCUUUUUAAAUAAACUGUUUGGUAACUGCUGCUGAGUGUAUGAAGGAGGUAGGGCGUCGAUAGUAAAUGUAUUUAAAACUUCUGAUUUAUGCUGUGUGUGUUCGUCAUGAGUGAUGCUGUCAUUCAGACUUUUGAG